CAGGAACACAAAGGAAAGGCCAUGUGAGGACACAGUGAAAAGGUGGCCAUCUGCAGCCCCAGGAGAGAGGAAUCACCAGACAUCAGCCCUGCUGGCACCUUCACCUUGGACUUUUGGCUCCAGAAUGAUAAUCAGAGCGUGCAUUACAUGCCAGACAAUGUUCCAAAUACAGAGCAGCAAAAGUCAUUUAUAAUGUUACGUAUUUGUCGUCUCCCUGCUGGGUUUCAUUUGACCUUGCAAUAACAUACAUUACCGGAAGAGAACACAACUGACGCAUCCAAAGCGGGAAAACCUGUACUCCAUCCUUCGUCUUAAUCCUUAUGGACUGUACUUGCUGGUGUCUGUCACCACUAGAAAUGGUUUGGAUCAACAAGUGCUCUAAGGUUUUAUUGAUACUGACUCAAAGCAUAAUACCCUAGGAAUAUUGAUGUUACUAAUGGACUUGAAAAGAACUAGAAGUCCUCAAGAAAGACCUGAAGGAAUAUAUCUUAAAUUGUGGCUUUUCAGAUGAAGAUUUGAACUGGAGCUUCUCUGGGUCUGCGUAAGCUUUC